rnacentral:rRNA from 1 species
UACGUAGGUGGCAAGCGUUGUCCGGAUUUAUUGGGUUUAAAGGGUGCGUAGGCGGCUUUGUAAGUCAGUGGUGAAAUAUGGCAGCUCAACUGUCAGGGUGCCAUUGAUACUGCGGAGCUUGAGUACAGAUGAGGUAGGCGGAAUUCCCGGUUGUAGUGGUGAAAUGCGUAGAUAUCGGGAGGAACACCGGUGGCGAAGGCGACAUCCUGGACCGGCAUUGACGCUGAGGCGCGAAAGCCAGGGGAGCAAACGGG